ensembl:lncRNA
UUUAGGGAAUGAAGUGUGACAGACGCUUGAUUGGACAGAGAGUAAUCUGAUGCUGAUCAGGGGAGGGGAAUGGACCAAGGCCUGUUUGGUUGGAAUCUUCUCGGCGUCCCUGUAUCCUUAGGUCUUCAGAGAUAAGGCUGUUUCUUUCCGCUGGGCACAGGAAUCAGCUUUCGUGAGAAGGGUUUUGCCGUGUAGCCCGGACUGGCCUUGAAUUUGUACUGAUCUCCUGCCUCAGCCUCCUUAGGACUGGAAUUACAGGGCUUUAAUCUUCAGAAUCAACACCACCAGUAAAUCGCUUGUGUAACCAAGCAAUAGACUGAAGCAGAGGAUGAAGGCAGUGAGACAGAGUACAGGGAGGAAAUGAGUCACCAUGAAUAAGAACUACUUCAGGUGAGACCGCUGGGGACUGGGCUGGCUGUACUUGGAAAGGUGGGCUACAUACCCAGGAGAGGGAGACUGCAAGGCGUCUUCGGAAGGCUGGGAACUGGCUGGGCAGUUGGAACAGUUUGUAGGGCGGGUGGAAAGAGGGCAGUUGGGAAUUGGAGUGGGGCAGAUGGGGGCGCCUUGAAUUCUGGCUCAAGGGCUUAGAACUUGAGCUUGUAGGCCAA